GCUAGGUGUAUGUGGGUGUGUACGGGUGUAGCUAGCUGUAUGUGGGUGUGUACGGGUGUAGCUAGCUGUAUGUGGGUGUGUACGGGUGUAGCUAGCUGUAUGUGGGUGUGUACGGGUGUAGCUAGCUGUAUGUGGAUGGUUCAUAACAACACAUGAGCAAAUGAACUGUGAAUACCACUUGUGAGAACCAAAUCUCUUCUGGUAUCAGACUCUUUCUGAGCAAUCACAUUUUAUGAAUCUAGCAUUGACAGGUCAACGAGAACUGUUUCUCUGUGACCAAUAUUACAUUUUCUAGUGUGAAAACUUCAUAUUUGGUGCAGUAAGUCUAAGUCUAACAGUACUUCAUCACUCUAUAUUGCUU